CAACAACCGCUCAACAAGUUCUUGAUUAUCUGAGUUUGUAAGGCUUCCAGACCAUGUAAAGACAUUGGAGCUACUGUUCAAUAUGUAGCAGUAGGAGGAAUUCAAAGACGAUGCAACCUGACAAGGGAAAAAAAUAAUAGAGAAAGAACUGAAAGUAGAACAACUUCAGAAAAAGUAAGUACCGGGUCUACUUGUAUUGCUUGCAUAUUUUCAGGUCCAGAGCCCUGGACUCUAAAUAAUGCAACCCCAUCAUCUUGGUACAUGAUGAGCUGACCUCGGCAGCUGCAGUUGCCUUCUUACGGUCAUCAAGAGAGGUAUUUCUUCCCAUCCAUGCAAAUACUUCAAACCCACAGUCUAGAAUAUAGCAUUUAUUUGUUUCUAGCAGGUCCCUUGUCAGAGAUCCGUCACCAUGCGGUUCCAGCUGCCCCUUCUCAAUUCUUUAAAAGAAAACAUAUAGCUUUCAGAACUACAGAGAGGUUUAGAACUAAUAGAAUAAUGGUUACCAACUCACCAUCUUACAUGGAAGUCCAAUGUAUUUAGUUUCAGGAUUUGUUAGUGGUCAUUGGUUAUUACACUAUUAGUUGAAGAUAAUUCUAGCUAAUGAUAGAACAAACAACAAUUCUACUCAUAAACCUUGAAACUUUUUAAAGAGAACAGAGAAAUGCACGUGGAUGAGAAUCACAGAAAUAUCAGAAGUGUCACAGGAGAAGGAGAAUCUAAAAAUGAGAUGAUAUAUUACCGAAAUAGCUUAGUUGGAUGAGAGUCAACAGGCCUAUCCUCAUCACUAGUUGUUUUCCUUGGAAGUGGAGCAAAACCACCAAAAAAGCUCCAAAAUUCUCCAGUUUCAGGGUCAGCCAUCAACUUUCCAUCCUCUACAAAAAGUUAACUCACAAACUGAUAUUCCUCAACUUCAUCUUUCACUUCCAACUCACAUAUCAAUCGUUAACUUACCAAUGGCAGCUAUCUCACAUUUUCCAUUGUGAUAUGUAUCUUUAACAUAUUGAACAACUUCCAAUGCUUUUGCUCUCUCUUGAAUAGACGAGUUUGAACCGUUAAAUUGGAAAAUUUUUGACUUGGUAUCUAGAACAAAAAUGUCAUCGUGAUUGAGUGAAGAUCGACUGAAAGGAACCUAUCACCACCAAUCCCAGAAAACUCAGCAUUUAUAGAAGGCUAAAGAAUACCAACCGAUACCCAAACAAAAACAAGAACUUGCCUCUUUAACAUGGACAACACGUUUUCCUUUACACACAAACAACCGAGUUUUAUGUUCUUCAGCCUCAGCAUGUUUGAACCCAGAAGCAAAUCCACCUUCUUGAGGUAUAAUACAUGGUUUGAAACAGGACAGGAAUUUCUCAGUCUCGUGACCUUGAACCUCACGAUAUUGUACCGCACGUCCACCUAGAGCUGCAUCUAGUUCAAUUGUCUUGAUGGCGGCGGCACCAGCUUCAUCCUGUGUAUUAAGCUGCUGAAUCCAAACUGUGCAAAAAAUGGAUCUUGAAAAGGACAUUAUUGAUUUUAGAAGCAUUUACCUGAGUGGUAUCCCUACCAAGCCAGUAAUGAAUAUCAUGUCGCAAGGUGCCACUCUUUAAGGAGGUUGUCUGCACAGAAAGGUUUAAAACAUGAAAAGCGUUUUUAAUUUCUGAGAACUCAAAGUCAGUGAAAAACAUGCUUUUGGUUGACUAAUUCCCGAAAUUUAUUUUCUCUCAAUUUUUUAGUUUGAUGAUGAUUUGUAUUCUAGAACAAGGGAACUAUGAGUUUGUUUUAUGAAUUUGAGAUUCAUAAAUGUUAGAUCUAUGGAAUUAGCAAAUUGAACGCUUGGGACAAGCAAAUCCCGUGCAUCAUAUGUAAA